AUUGAACGCUGGCGGCAGGCCUAACACAUGCAAGUCGAGCGAGCGGCGGACGGGUGUGUAAUGUAUGGGGACUGCCCGAUAGAGGGGGAUAACUACUGGAGACGGUAGCUAAUACCGCAUACUAUAGGAUUACCCAUAUGGGAUUAGAUAGUAGGUGUGGUAAGGGCUCACCUCGGCGACGCGCCCUAGCUGGUCUGAGAGGAGGAUCAGCCACACGGGAACUGAGACACGGCCCAGACUCCGACGGAGGCAGCAGUGGGGAAUAUUGCACAAUGGGCGCAAGCCUGAUGCAGCCAUGCCGCGUGUAUGAAGAAGGCCUUAGGGUUGUAAAGUACUUUCAGUCGGGAGGCGUUACCCGCAGAAGAAGCACCGGCUAACUCCGUGCCAGCAGCCGCGGUAAUUC
rnacentral:rRNA from 1 species